rnacentral:tRNA from 1 species
CAGCCCCUCCACAGGUUCCCCGCUGCCCUCAGGCUUCUCAAGGGACACCGUGCCCAUGCCAACCAUAGCAGGGAGUUCCGUUCGAUGUAGCACGCCACGGUCCGGCAGGCCCGCUCUCCCACAGGCUCGCCGGUAGGUGCGGCAGAGAGAGCGAGGGCCGUGCAAUGCUGCAGCAUGUGAACUUUGAAGCUUUUUCGUCGGUACGCGUAGAGGGAGAGAGGGAACGGAACCAAAGAGAGUCUGCGGCACCGGCUGUAAGGAUUUUUCCACUUCGCGUCGUGGAAGAGAGCCGCCAAACGGGAGCAAACAUAAGCCGCGCAGCCAGCAGCGCGACCCCAAGGGAUGCCCCCAAUCCAUGCCCUGAACUGCUCGCACGAGCCUCCCGGACGCGCUGGAGGAGUGCGACCCGGUUAACUCGGUGUCGCAGCCGGGCGACUUUGAGACAGGGACUCGUACCAUCGGUAAGGGGGAACGUUAAAGGUUUGUCAGAAGUGGGAUUCGAACCCACGCCUCCAGAGGAGACUGCGACCUUAACGCAGCGCCUUAGAGCGCUCGGCCACCCUGACGGCGCGCUCCACCUUCUCUCACGCAGCUUGGGGAGGCAGAGGUGGAAGGCGAAGGCCGGACGUCGGAACGGGCCGUCGAGUGGCGACUCGGCAAGGCUGAGGCGCACCCAGCUCCUCGUUAGUAUAGUGCUUGGGGAGGCAGAGGUGGAAGGCGAAGGCCGGACGUCGGAACGGGCCGUCGAGUGGCGACUCGGCAAGGCUGAGGCGCACCCAGCUCCUCGUUAGUAUAGUGGUGAGUAUCCCCGCCUGUCACGCGGGAGACCGGGGUUCGAUUCCCCGACGGGGAGCGCGCGUCAGCUUUUUGAACCCCUGCACCAAACGAGAGCCGCCUCGCUCGCAGAGCGAGCCAGUAGGGCUGAAGCGAUCCUCUCCCACGAUUGGCGCCUUGCGCGAGGAGGAGGAGGAGGAGGCGGCGGCGGCGCCGUGCUACUCUCCUUUGGCAGCAGCUACCCUCGCCUCGGUGCCCAUCCCCAGGCCGUUCAGAAAGAGUGCUUUCGCAUGCUCCCUUAGCCACCUGAGAUCGUUCAGCCCCUCCAC